AACGAACGCUGGCGGCAGGCCUAAAACAUGCAAGUCGAACGCCCCGCAAGGGGAGUGGCGCACGGGUGAGUAACGCGUGGGAACGUGCCCUUCACUACGGGACAACGUCGGGAAACUGACGCUAAUACCGUAUAAUGACUCCGGUCCAAAGAUUUAUCGGUGAAGGAGCGGCCCGCGUCUGAUUAGCUAGUUGGUGAGGUAAUGGCUCACCAAGGCUACGAUCAGUAGCAGGUCUGAGAGGAUGAUCUGCCACACUGGGACUGAGACACGGCCCAGACUCCUACGGGAGGCAGCAGUUAGGAAUAUUGGACAAUGGGCGAAAGCCUGAUCCAGCCAUGCCGCGUGUGUGAUGAAGGCCCUAGGGUUGUAAAGCACUUUCGUUGGGGAAGAUAAUGACUGUACCCAAAGAAGAAGCACCGGCUAACUUCGUGCCAGCAGCCGCGGUAAU
rnacentral:rRNA from 1 species